UUCCUUGGCGUAGAGAUCCUUGAAGGCUUCGUAUUCCGGCAGGGUGACGUGGCAAAUCUUUGUGGCGAAACUCUUCUCGGAAGUGUCUGUAAUCUGAUAGAGUUUGGGGUUCGUAGUCGGCUCAUUUGGAUCGGCUUUCGGAGGUCGUGGCUUAAAGAGGCCCAAACGAAGCAGGAACUGGUGGCGACAACGCAGCUCCUCGAAUGACAAGAUACCUCGGAUUGUGCUAUCAAAUCCGGACUGUUCAUCAAACACUUCCACACAUUUUUGCUGGUGGAGACGCGACUUUGAAGGAAGCCGAUGUGGGAAAGUAACUGGUGGGAGUCGCUAACGUCCAGUAACUCGGGGUACUUCGUAAGGAGCAGGUGCAGUAGAUUCUCGCCGAAUUGACAGGCCCUCCAGAUUUCCAGGCAGCUUAUUAUUUUGUCCGGCGUUCUUUUCAAAAUCGCGGGGUUACCGGUAACUAUUCUAAGGAAAUUCACGGUUUCCAAGCCGUGGUUUUGAAAAGUUUGAUGGGCCCUUCGCCAGAUUUCAGGUGAGAAUACAGCU
ensembl:ncRNA asRNA:CR44982 antisense RNA:CR44982